rnacentral:lncRNA from 1 species
UUAAAUUUAUAAUGCUUCUAUGAUUUUAAAUUUCUUUAUAAAAUACUUCUUUCACAUGUUUUGUUAAAUUUUAAAUAACAAAAGAAAAGAAAAUACAAAAUACAGUUUUGACAAGCUUGCAACAAAUCCAUUCCUCUUGGAGAUUCAUUCAACUUCAUCUCUUCCACCUUCUUUUGUUCUUUUUACCAUUUUGAGUUGUAUAGCUUGCAACAAAUUCAUUCCUCUUGAAGAUCCAUUCCACUUCAUCUUUUUCACUUGCUUUUUCCUUUUUACCAUUUUGAGUUGUGGAUAGGCACUUGUCUCCCGUUGCAAAAACAUGCUAGCAUUUUCAGUUUUCACCAACUUAUAUAAUUUGGCAUAUUUUGCAAACCCUAACCUAAUUUUGGAGUAUAAAUAGAAACGAUAAAUUAUUUUUCCUUCACACAUAUAUCUCCAUUAAUUAACCCAAAAAAAAAUUCAUCAAACAACUCCAAAAAUUAGUAGUCAACAAUCAAGAUACUCUUCUUCAAGUGAAAUUCCAUCACUAUAUUCAUAACUAGACUCCAUUUUCUCAAAUACACCUUCAUCUAUCAACUUCUGAGGCAUAAACCUGAAACAUGAGAACUACUUGAUCAUGAUGAUGCCUCAUUCUUUCCUUUUCUUUGUUUUUAACCUCAUUAUUAUAUGUUUUCUUUUUAAACUUCUUCAGUUUUGUUAGUUUGGGCCUGCUUCAUGUUUGUUCUUUUAAUAACUUGGUUUCAAUUUAGAGUUUCUGCCUUGAUUAUUUUGAAUAAAUAUUGUUCUAAUCAAUUUAACAAAUAUUUAAUACAGACUAAUUAGAUAUGAUAGAUAUCUCUUUAAUCAUUGAGAUUUUGUAUGACAGUAGUUAUGGCAGUUUGAUAGUAAUUAAGCCCAUCUUUUAUAUAAAUUAAUCAACAGAUAUCAUUUUAAAAGGUUUAACUAGAUAUGACAUCUUUUUAAACUAAUUUGAGUUG